rnacentral:tRNA from 1 species
UGCGAGGUAGAGCAAUGGUAGCUCGUCAGGCUCAUAAUCUGAAGGUAGUGGGUUCGAUUCCCUCCCUCGCAA